UGGUCCGUCUUCCCCAAAUAUGACGUCAGCCCACGGGGAGAGGACCGCACUAGUCACCGCAGUAGCGCCAGGGCCGGCGACGGCGGCUGACACACGUGCUGAACGGGCAGAGCGCGGGGACCCCGGGCCGCUCGGCCACAGAAGCCCAGCCCACUCGCCGGCUCUAGGACGCUGUUGCCCGAGCAACGGCGACACUCGUUGAUUGGAAUAGGAGUCUGCGCACCCGACAAGGAGAGCAGCUCCGAUUGGCUAAGCCGUUUGCAGAUACGAAGCCGAGGCUCAGAGCGGGGUCUUCUGCCCCGGGACACGCAGCUGGUCUACGGCAGAACUGGAGUUAGAACCAAGGCAGGCCAGGCCCUGCUCUCCGUUGUCGGGGAGAAGGGACCAGAGGGGCAGCUUUGCUGAGGAGCCCCCUGCACCCAUUUCUGGCGGCGGCGAAGCGAUCGUCUGCUGUCACGCUGGGCAACCUGACUGCACAUCGCGGGGAAGCUGGUCUUCCUUCUCACCGAGGGGUACUGCCAUCUUCUCUUGCUCAGACCUCCCGCACCCUCCCUCCCCAUCCCCGGCGCCUGGCCUCACCUCCAGUCCCCUGACUCCAAACGACUGGAGCACACUGUUGUCUCGCAGCCUCUUAGACGCCCAUCUCUAAUGCUCUUCUUCCAGCCUCUCCACGUAUGUCCUCAAUCCCACCCCCCCCCACCCCCCAAUGGCCUUCUCAAAGA